ACUAAAAUAGCUCAGUGGUUUAGAGUAUUUGAUUGAAAAUCAAAUUGUCGUAGGUUCAAGUCCUACUUUUAGAA
rnacentral:tRNA from 5 species